GUCUACGGCCAUGCCACCCUGAACAAACCCAAUCCCAUCUGAUCUCGGAAGCUAAGCAGGGUCGGGCUUGAUUAGUACUUGGAUGGAAGACCACCUAGGAAGACCAGGUGCUGUAGGCG
rnacentral:rRNA from 1 species